rnacentral:rRNA from 1 species
UACGUAGGUGGCAAGCGUUGUCCGGAUUUACUGGGCGUAAAGAGCGCGCAGGCGGUCGAAUAAGUCGAAUGUGAAAGCCCCCGGCUCAACUGGGGAGGGUCAUUCGAUACUGCUCGACUUGAGGGCAGGAGAGGGUAGUGGAAUUCCCGGUGUAGUGGUGAAAUGCGCAGAUAUCGGGAAGAACACCCGUGGCGAAGGCGGUUCUCUGGGACGGUACUGACGCUGAGACGCGAAAGCGUGGGGAGCGAACAGG